rnacentral:lncRNA from 1 species
UUUCUUGAAGGCAUGAAAAAUGGUCUGUUUCAUUCAUUGCUGAAAUAAUGUGAUUUUACUAUUACCUGUUUUGAGUCACUAUAACCUCAAUAUAGUAACAACAGAAUGACAUAAUCAAUUUUAGCUUUUACAUCCGUUUAGAAUUACCCAACAGCAUUAGUAGUUUUCUCAAUGAUGUUUAGUGUUUGGAGGCAGAGGAUGCUAAGCGCAUAUAUCCAAAGGAGUAUACAACUUGGAGAGAAGAUCCAUCUAAGUUUUGUGUAGAUGGUGUAUAUCCUCUUCAAAAACUGU